AGUCGAGCGAGACCUUCGGGUCUAGCGGCGGACGGGUGAGUAACGCGUGGGAACGUGCCCUUCUCUACGGAAUAGUCCCGGGAAACUGGGUUUAAUACCGUAUACGCCCUUCGGGGGAAAGAUUUAUCGGAGAAGGAUCGGCCCGCGUUAGAUUAGGUAGUUGGUGGGGUAAUGGCCUACCAAGCCUACGAUCUAUAGCUGGUUUGAGAGGAUGAUCAGCCACACUGGGACUGAGACACGGCCCAGACUCCUACGGGAGGCAGCAGUGGGGAAUCUUAGACAAUGGGGGCAACCCUGAUCUAGCCAUGCCGCGUGAGUGAUGAAGGCCUUAGGGUCGUAAAGCUCUUUCGCUGGGGAAGAUAAUGACUGUACCCAGUAAAGAAACCCCGGCUAACUCCGUGCCAGCAGCCGCGGUAA
rnacentral:rRNA from 1 species